UGUGUGUGUGUGACAGAGAGAGAGAGGAAGAGAGAGAGAGGAGGGGGAGAUUCACAGAGUCCUGCUUUCCUGAGCUGAGAGCUGCUGGUUCCCAAGCCGAAAGUAUUAGGAGAAACACGGCUUCUUGUGUCUUUGCUGCAUUUACACAAUGAAAUCACUUCUAUUUCUAUUCCUGCUAACCGGCCGCUUUUGCUUGAAUCCACUCCGAGCCAUGGACGACGGGAACAAAAAAAAAGUACUUAAAAACAACUAGACCAAAAAAAAAAAAAAAGGGAAAGAAAACCCUAACAAGCCCAACCACGCUGGGAUGAGGAUUAUUCACUUUAGCGCUGCCUGAAGCGUGGUCUGCUUGGGUCUCUGUAAUGCAACUUGAGUCCGCCCAGCUCGAAGGAAUGCGGUGGUCAAAACAGCUUUCCAGCUGUUUGGUUUUUUGGGAUUCCAACCCCCCUCCCCCCACAGAGACACACUCCUCAAGUGUACAUGUGAAGGUGUUACUUUUUCAUGGCAGGAUUUGCUUAAAAUAAACUAAGACCAAAACUGUC